GCCUCCCAUCGCUGGCCCUUCCUUGUGCACCAGCGAACACAACCCUACCGUCCGAUCUGGCGGACGGAGGCGCGCCUCUUGUCACUGGCCCAUACCCGCACGUCCUUACCUGGCGAGGGCGACCCAGCACCAGAUCCCUUUAUCUUUCCCUGCUGCAGAUCGAUUAUCUGAUUUCUCCCCAAGAUUCAAAGCACUCGCACAUUCUUCUUUUUUCCCUCUUUCUUUGCUAAUUUCUCCCCAAAUUCUUCCUCCCACCGAAUCCUUCCUCUCAAUAAGUUUGUUGCGCCUCACCGCCGGCGACCGGACGCAGCAAGCCAGGCCUCCUCCCACCGAAUCUUUCUCUCCACGAGUGGUGAUUUCGUCUUUUUCUGGUAAGUAAAACCCUAGAUUGCUAUGAUGGAUUGUUCUAAAAGUUCAUUUUUGUUCUGCGGGGAACCUUUUUCUCCGAUUCUCCCUGAGAUUGCGCGUGGUACCUUACUAAUGUAAUCCCUCAAUCCAUUUAUCCAUGGCUUGGUUAGGUUCUUCUUCGGAGAGCAAAAUCAAUCUCAGCUGACACCAUAGGAAUUGGUACCCAAGGUUUUUCAUUAGGGGGUUUAACUGAACCCGAUGCCCCAUGUUAAGACCACCCCUGCCAGCUGCUGCUCACCUUGCUUUGUGAUUUUGCCGUGAUCGAGCAGAACAUCUUGUCUUGGGUUCAAUAGAGCAUAUGCUGAGAAGAGCUCGGUAGCAGAAAAUGCAAGCUCACAAAACAUGUAGAAAGGUUGGAUUUAAAAGAGUGGUCUAUGACAUCUGGAGCUCUUGGCAAGGUUUGAGAAAAGGUAGCCUAUCACAAUGAAAUAUUGGAGUAGCUGCUGUAAGUAAUUCCUUGGUUCUUUUGGACAUACCUUUUGAUAUCUUCUGACUUCACUUGAACAUGCCAACUGUAUAAUAUUACGAGAUCUCUCCUAUUAAUUAUUUGAUAUGAAUUAUAUCAAUUCCCAGUUCCUUUGACUUUAUAUGCAAUAAUUCAAUGGAUUGCUAUAUGUAAGACAGUGCUUAUGGCUCAAUUGAUCAACGGUCUGUAUUGUCAUUCGGAUAUAUGCUAUUUGGCAUUCCCUUUACAAAAUAAAGUCUCUCAGAACAUCUUUUGUCCACUGGUACUUUAGCCGGUCUUAUAUACUGCACACAGUUGGUCGACCAGAUGCAGGAUUGCCCGUUCGAUCGCGCCCGCUCGCCCGCACGGAGCAUCACCGUCCGAUCGCACACAUGGCCCUUCAUCCAUGUGCAUUGUAUAUGGGUUUCCGUUGCAAUGCACGUGCCCGUUGCUAUAUGCGUUCCUGUACCCUUGCUACUGACAGGACUUCUUUUGGGAAGUGCUGAGAGGACUGAAGCGCAUGGUCUAUUGGAUCUAGUUUUCUGAACAACUCUCAAAAUGAGCCAUGUAUUCACAUGAGUUUUCUGUUUUCUCAUCCAUUUGUAAUGACAGGGAGUCCAAUGUGAGAUUAGAUCAGUUAUGUUUGAUAUGAUUACACUUAGUUGUUUUUGAUAUGGGUACAAUAACUCAGUUGUAAUGUAGAUGGUACUACAAAGAAGGGAGCGUGAAGCAGCAAUAGAAAGGGAGAAAGUGAAAAGCUGAUAGAUUCAAGAUUCCAAGCUGUAAAAUGAUUUCAUUUGUCCUGAUUAAAUUGUUAAAGCUGUGUAGUCUUUAUGUUA